rnacentral:lncRNA from 1 species
AUGAAAGGCUCUGAUGGCAGCAGGCUGCUUUGGAGCAGGGCUCCCCUCCCUGCUCCGAGGGGCUCCUGUCCCAGCCUGGGGCUCCCCUCGGCUCUGUCACAGCUAAAAACUCUUGUCCCAGCAAGGAAGACGAGAUUCAUGCACAAGUGUCCCUCAGGAACAAAACCAGGGGCUGUUUGGGGUUUUGCACUGUUGGGAGUGAGUGUGGGAUGCUGCUCCAGGGGGCUGCAGGGUGUUGGGGAGCCCCUCACACCAACCCUGAUUUUUAAAUCCUUUUCCCAGUCUUGGUCAGACUGUGAAACAAAUCCUGUUCUGUUUUUUAAUCUUUGUGUCUGCUGGCUGGAGGGAGUCCAUGGAUGCUGGGGGUGCCCUGGGACCCCCAUCCUGCCAGCCCUGCAGCCUGGGGAGCCUGGAGCUUCCUGCUGCCUUCCCAUGGCUGCAGAAACCCUCCCUGGGCCGAGCAGAGGCACUGCUGGCAGCCCCCGUGCUCCUCUGCUGUUUGGAUCCAGCCCUGGCCCUCUGGGAGAAAAGAAGAAUAAUUUUGCAUGUGUGUCUGUGUGUGCAGGGCUGUGUUUGGGCAGCAAGAGCUGCUGCAGCACGAACGUGUCCAAAUACCCAGUGGAUUUCGUUUCUAAUCCCCCCGAGCUGGUGCAGGGGAGGGCUCAGGGUUUCCCCAGGCACUUGCAAAUCCCAUUUCAGGCGGUGGGGAGGUGGUGCAGUGGGGUGGGGCUGAUGGAGCCGAUGGGUUCGGUGGGAUGGGGUCCCAGUGUGGCACCUGAGCAGUUUGCCAUCUGCAGGGGCUGGCAGCAGCCAGACCCUCCCCUGCUGCUGGGUCAUCCCCCUACACUUUGGUUACAGCCCUUUUUUGUGGGAUUCCAGGCUGGUUUGGGUUGGAAGGACCUUAAACCUCAUCCAGUUCCAAUCCCUUGCCACGGUAAGGACAUUUUACUUAGACCACGCUGCUCCAAACCCCAUCCAACCUGGCUUUGGGCACUGCCAGGGAUCCAGGGGCAGCCACAGCUGCUCUGGGCACCUGUGCCAGCCCUGCCCACCCUCCCAGGGAAGGGUUUUCCUCUUCUCCCCAAGCACCACCCCAGGGUGUUCCUGGGCAUCGCUGAUCCUGCCUUGCUGGGGCUGGGGCUGGGGAGACCAGGAUUGUGCACUGCACACGAGGAGGGAGAGGCUGGGUCUGUUCUGUGUCCCUGCCUGCAGCUGGGGACGUGCUGGGGUGCUGGCAGAGCCCGGCAGCGCUGGGGUGCAGCUCCUGCAAACCCCAGCUGGGAGCAGCAGGUUGAGUCGCCUGCUGGGAGCUGUUUUCCAGCCUCGUGCGAGGGAAGGGAGCUAAAAAUACAGCUUGUGUUGUUUGCCUGCAGCUGGAGCUGA